rnacentral:tRNA from 2 species
GCGGGAGUAGCUCAGUUGGUAGAGCGCAACCUUGCCAAGGUUGAGGGCCAAGGUCGGGGUCGAGAGUUCGAGACUCUUCUCCCGCUCCA